rnacentral:rRNA from 1 species
AUCCUGCGGGAGAGUGCUGCUAUCUGGAUUCGACUAAGCCAUGCAAGUCAGGGGGUUUUCGGACCACCGGACGAAAGGCUCAGUAACGCGUCACUAAUCUACCCUACAGUCAAGGAUAGGCUUGGGAAACUGAGUGUAAUACUUGAUACGUGUACUCUGCUGGAAUGCUUGUACAUUCAAACUCGCGCUGUAGGAUGAGGUGGCGUCGGAUUAGCUUGUUGGUGAGGUAACGGCUCACCAAGGCUUCGAUCCGUACGGGCGAUGAGAGUCGUAGCCCGGAGAGGGACACUGAGAUACUGGUCCCAGCCCUACGGGGUGCAGCAGGCGCGAAACCUCUACAAUGCACGAAAGUGUGAUAGGGGGAUCCAGAGUGCUUAUGCUCAGCAUAGGCUUUUGUCGAGAGUAAAAAUCUCGGCGAAUAAGUGGUGGGAAAGACCGGUGCCAGCAGCCGCGGUAACACCGGCGCCACGAGUGGCAUUCACAUUUAUUGGGUCUAAAGCGUUCGUAGCCGGACAUGUACAUCCUUCGUGAAAUCGAGCGGCCCAACCGUUCGGAUGGCUUGGGACACGGCAUGUCUUGGGACCGGGAGGAGCUAGAAGUAUGCCUUGGGGAGCGGUUAAAUGUGAUAAUCCAAGGUAGACUACCUGCGGCGAAGGCCUCUAGCUAGAACGGAUCCGACGGUGAGGGACGAAGGCCAGGGGAGCGAACCGGAUUAGAUACCCGAGUAGUCCUGGCAGUAAACGCUGUGUGCUAGGUGUUGCAGGUCUGUAUGGACUUGCAGUAUCGAUGCGAAGGCGAUAAGCACACCACCUGGGAAGUACGGCCGCAAGGCUGAAACUUAAAGGAAUUGACGGGGGAGCACCACAAGGGGUGCGGCGUGCGGUUUAAUCUAAUUUAACGCAGAGAAUCUCACCAGAGGCGCCGGCAGGAUGAAGGUCAGUCUGAAGGACUUACCUGACGAGCCGAGAGGUAGUGCAUGGCCGUCGUCAGCUCGUGCCGUAAGGUGUCCUGUUAAGUCAGGCAACGAGCGAGACCUGCAUCUACAAUUGCCAGCAUGUUCUACGGAAUGAAUGGGCACAUUGUAGGGACUGCCCUGGAAACAGGGAGGAAGGUGCAGGCUACGGUAGGUCUGUAUGCUCCGAAUCUUCUGGGCAACACGCGCGCAACAAUGGUAUGGACAAUGGGAUACUACUCCGAAAGGAGACGUUAAACCUCGAAACCAUAUCUCAGUCCAGAUUGCGGGUUGUAACUCACCCGCAUGACGACGGAAUCCCUAGUAAUCGGAAGUCAACAUCUUCCGGUGA